UCCAGAUUGAACGACUGGCGGCAUGCUUUACACAUGCAAGUCGAACGGCAGCACGGGUGCUUGCACCUGGUGGCGAGUGGCGGACGGGUGAGUAAUACAUCGGAACGUAUCCAGAANAGGGGGAUAACGCAUCGAAAGAUGUGCUAAUACCGCAUAUUCUCUGAGGAGGAAAGCAGGGGAUCGCAAGACCUUGCGCUUUUGGAGCGGCUGAUGUCUGAUUAGCUAGUUGGUGGGGUAAAGGCCUACCAAGGCGACGAUCAGUAGUUGGUCUGAGAGGACGACCAGCAACACUGGGACUGAGACACGGCCCAGACUCCUACGGGAGGCAGCAGUGGGGAAUCUUAGACAAUGGGCGCAAGCCUGAUCUAGCCAUGCCGCGUGGACGAUGAAGGCCUUAGGGUUGUAAAGUCCUUUCAGAUGGGAAGAUAAUGACGGUACCAUCAGAAGAAGCCCCGGCUAACUCCGUG
rnacentral:rRNA from 1 species